GGCAGCAUAGAGGUUAGAUGCAAGAUGAGUCAGUUAGGUCACAUCCCUUUUACUGUCAUACUUUUCUCACUCUUACAAUUUUUGCCAAGGCAAUUUCAUUAGAAUAAUCUGCUAACUAAGGGCUCUAUGUAAAGUUGCUGAUUUUCUUUAGAGGUUAGACGGAACUGGGUACCUAAUCUGCACAGGCCAGUGAAAUAUACAAAUGGAAAGCACUUGUUCAAUAAUUUUUAAGCAUUUCAGAUUGUGACAGCAGAGCAUUUAACAAGCAAGGGCCUCUCUAAGCAUUGGGCUCUGUGUGACUGCCCAUAUCACCUGCCCCUGAAGCCUGCCUUGAGGGCUUCACUGGAACAGAUAUGAUUAUAGCAAAUCACUCUGCCCACACCCGAGGCUGCAGCCAGAAACCACGGAAACUGACAGACGCCAGCAAAAAGAAAGAAAAAGUUAAGAAAUUUCUUACCAGUAAUCCUCCUUGGGUUUCUGCCUUAGGACUAGUCAGGUGGAAUCCUACUCUGUCGCCAGGCUGGAGUAUAGUGGUGUGAUCUUGGCUCACUGCAACCUCUGCCUCCCAGGUUCAAGCGAUUCCCCUGCCUCAGGCUCUGGAGUAGCAGCAGCUGGGACUACAGGUCAUAUGAAAUGAUCUGGCCUUCAUGCACAGGUGGACAACCAAAAGUUUAGGAGCCCCAAGAAUAUAGCCAAACAGAAAUGUGAGUUAUACCUCAUUUGCAGCUAGUGAAGUUUUGAUUUUUUGGCUGGUCUGUGGGAGUGGUCUGAAUCUUGGAAGAACUUCGUCUUUCUGUUUCGUCUUUGGAGUCCUUGGUUACAACCAUAGAGAGGCUACGUAGUUUGGUCUUGAGUCACUUGUUAAAUAUAUCUUUAGUUAAGAUUUUGGUUUAUAUUCAGAGAAUAAUUUUUUUUUUAACUUUUCCUUUUUCUGUUUGCUUCCUGCAUUCUCAUUUGAGCUAACAGGAAAUUUUAUAUUCAAAAGAAGAAAUUUGAUUAGUAAUUACCCUGAACUUCUAAAAACUUCCAUUAUUUCUUUGUCUUUUGAGAUGUAAAUUCUCUCUCCAGUCUUACCUGAGAAAUAAUUCCUUUUUAAAUGCAAAUUUCAAGGAAAGAAAAGCCAGGAAACAGAAGUGUUUGCUGUUUGUUUGGCUAAAACCUCUAAUGAGAUAUUUAAAGAUUUCUUUUUUAAGAGCUUUAUGGUCAAAAAUUAACUUAAUUAAAAGCUGAUAUUCAGGCUACAAUUUUUUUAAAAGCCUCCCUGCUUUUUCUGUUUUGGAUCCUGUUUCUACUAUGGAAUUUCUUUUAGUCCACAGAAGCUCCUUUUAAUUAUAUGUUCGUUCCUCUGUCUACUUCCUUUUUUGUUGGCAUGAUUUCUGCUGAGAAUAAUAUAAAACUUUAUCGACCUUUUUGAAAACUCCCCAGUUUGCUGCUUUAGGAUUUGUUCUUCCUUUUACCUCUGCCCCCAUUUCUUUUGUCAUCUUGAUACUCUUUGAGGAAGGAAGAAAAGGUGCCACUGACCCUCUUUUUCCUCCUCACGAAGCCUUAAGAGUGAGAAGUCAGUUCCUCUCAGGUCCAAGGCUCUAUUAUCUUUCAUAUGAAGCUCCCUAAUCUCCUGGCUCUUAGGAGGUGGAGUACCAAGGCUUGCUUUAUAACUGACAAGUCACUGGUAAGAGCUACAAUUUUAAAGGUAACUAACAAUGUUACAGCAACCAGUUAUUACGGCAGAAGGCAAAUUCUUACUUUCUACCUUCUUCAUUUCUUUGCAUGCUUAGGUAAGAAAAGACUCAGGUAUAUGACUAAGUCAGACCCAACUGACAAUCAGACAGUUAUUUGAAACAGGCUUCCGAAUUGUCUUUUAGGUUCAUCUGUAUGUAACCGCCCAAUAGGUUCACCUUGCCUAGACAGAACCGAUUUAUCAAGACAGGGAAAUUGCAAUAGAGAAAGAGUUUCAUUUACACAGAGCUGGCUGUACAGGAGACCAGAGUUUCAUUAUUACUCAAAUCAAUCUUUCUGGAAACAUGAGGAUCAGGGUUUUUGUAGAUAGUUCGGUGGGUAGAGGGUCAGAAAGUGGGGAUUGCUGAUUGGUUGGGUCAGAGGUGAAAUCCUAGGGAGUUGAAGCUGUUCUCUUGUGCUGAAUCUGUUCCUGUGUGGGGGCCACAAGACCAGAUGAGCCAGUUUUUGGAUCUGGGUAGUGCUAGCUGAUCCAUCAAGUGCAGGGUCUGCAAAAUAUCUCAAACAUUGAUCUUAGGUUUUACAAUAGUAAUGUUAUCCCAAGAAACAAUUUGGGAUGUUUAGAAUCUUGCAGCCUCCAACUGCAUGAUUCCUAAACCAUAAUUUCUAAUCUUUUACAUAAUCUGAUAGUCCUGCAAAGACAGUCUGGUCCCCCAGGCAGAAAGGGGGUUUGUUUGGGGAAAGGGCUGUUAUCACCUCUAUUUCAAUGCUAAACUAUAAACUAAGUGUCUCCCAAAAUUAGUUUGACCUAUGCCCAGGAAUGAACAAAGAUAGCUUGGAGGUUAGAAGCUAGAUGGAUUUGGUUAGGUCAAACCUCUUUCGCUAUAAUAAUUGUCUCAGUCAUAUUUUUUGCAAAGGCAGUUUCAUGUGUACUUUAUUGUAAAAUCCUCUAAUUCUUAUGAUUUUAUAUUACCUUAGCAUUCAUUUAAAAUCUUCCUCUUUGUCUCACCUAAAGCACCCAAAGCUCCUUGAGAAAACUUAUGUUCUUUCUCUAUGCCUUUGAGAUGUAAAUCUCUCACCCUGUCUUCUCUAGGACUUGAUAGCAUUCUUUUGAAAAAAACUAUAAGAUAUUUGUAUCUAUCUGUAUGAUUGUUUAUGUUUAUACACAUAUACAUCUAUGAUAUCUGUUGUGUCCACAUGAUACAAAAUCCCUUCGUUGAAUUUCAAAUUGAUUUAAAAGACAAAUGAACAUGCAUAUAUUAAAUACUUUAGGCUCCUAAAAUUAUAGAUACUAACUCAAAUUAUUUUCAAAUUCAUAUGAAUUGAAUACAUUUUUUGUAAAUAAAACUAGCUUAAUAUUGUUGGUUUAAAAAACAGUAAAUCAAAUAGAUAUGAGUGAGAUAAAGAUGUAUCUCUUUGAUAACUACAUCCUUAGAAUUUUGCUAAGUUAAAUUAAAUGAUGGCUAUUCAUUUAAUAUCUAGUUCAUUUCUAAAGAAGAUAAAAGAUUGAAACAUUAAUUGCUCAACAUAGGUUUCAGUUUAUUUACAUUUGGCAUCUUACAUUUUAUAGAAAGAUAAAAUAUAUUUGGGCUUGUUAGCAAAUAUGUCCUUUUCCACAUUGGAAAUAUGUUCUAUCAGGAAAUCUAUGUUUCUAGAAGUCAUUAAGUAUAUAGUCAUAAAAUGGGUUGGUAUGUGACUUUGAAGUUGCUUACUUCCUAGAUUUUCACUAGAAAUUAAGAUUAUUAGGAUUAUGUCACUGAAUAUUAAUAUAUAUACUUAAAACUACUAAUAAUAAAGGAAACAAUUCUGUAUACAAAAUAUACAGGCAAAUUAAGAUGUUAUAAGGUAUAAACGUGUUUUUGUUGAGGAAAGAAAUCAUUUUGUCUAGGUACAGGUUAUUUAAAGGUUGACUCAAAAUAAGUAAAUGGAGAUAAGAAUGACUGAGCUAAACCUGAAUAAAUAUAGAAGGUUGGGAAAAGAAAGACAGUGAAAAAAAAUCCUGUGUCGUUAAACUGAUAAAAAUUUACUAAAUUUAAUAUAAGGGUUUUAAAAUUGAGACUUAUCAUUAAUAGUACACUGAUACAAAACUAGAAAUUGCUUUUUAAGGAUAUUCAUGUAGUAUUAAUAAGAGAUAAUAAAAGCUUUAUGUUCACCUUUGGAGUAAAGG
rnacentral:lncRNA from 1 species